rnacentral:misc_RNA from 1 species
CUAAGUUUGAAUCUUCCUCCACUGUAUUCCCAGUGAAAGAAAAAUCUCAUUUCUACAGAGCUUUUAAUCUCUUAGAGACAAAGCGUCUCAUGGCUUCUUUCGAUACCUUCGGCAUCGACGGCGAGGAGAUUCACACGUCCAAUCACAGAUCCUGUGAAGAAGAAGAAGACGAUAGCUACUCCAACUUCGGUUCCUACUCCAACUUCA